UAUUGCUUUCAAUCUCAAAAACCCAAUUCCUCCCUCCUCCUUAAUCCUUCUUAUGUCACUUUUUUGCAAUUUAUGUAUAUAUUAUGUUUUGCUCUGCAACUGCAAAUGGUUUUGUUUGUUUGUUUGUUUGAUGGUGGCGGUUUUAUUAUGUGCGAGCUGAUGCAUUAAUGGGAAUGGGAAAUAGGGAAUUGUAUGUGUGUGAAAUUGCAAGUUGAGUUGGAGAGUUGAGAUCGUCUGUAUGUAAAUGUGUACGUUUCAAUCAGUUAUCAAUCCGAGCUGUGGUGUGGUGUGGAUGAAUGUGUAAAGUAAUCAGAGAGUAGAUGUUGGGUGAUGAUGGGACCCAGUGGAGUGGACCAUCCUGACUUCUGAGUCUGAUGGAUUCCUCCUCCUGCAGUUGCCUCUCUGGAUAUUUCGAUUCAGGGCUUCUUCUAUUUCUGUCUAUGCUGAUGUCAACUCCGCAGUAAAAUAUGCAAUCAGAAAGGGGAGGAGAGGAGGUGAAGCAAGCUAGGUGUCUCGCGUACUCGAGGGUUGGGUUUUGCUUUCCUAAAAAUACAAUCUUGCUUGUGAGUUGUGACACUACUGCUUCUCAAAGUCAGCAAUUCAGAAGACUCCAAUUCUUGAAUUGUGGAGCUAAUCGCCGCUGAAAUCUUCAGUUACCUCUGUGGUCUUAAGCAUCCUUUUCCCAUAAUUUAGCCCGCAAGAAGUUGUUAGCUAUAUGUU